rnacentral:rRNA from 1 species
AGCGAACGCUGGCGGCAGGCUUAACACAUGCAAGUCGAGCGGGCAUCCUUGUGGUGUCAGCGGCAGACGGGUGAGUAACGCGUGGGAACGUGCCCUUCGGUUCGGAAUAACUCAGGGAAACUUGAGCUAAUACCGGAUACGUGCGAGAGCAGAAAGGUUUAUCUGCCGAAGGAUCGGCCCGCGUCUGAUUAGCUAGUUGGUGAGGUUAUGGCUCACCAAGGCGACGAUCAGUAGCUGGUCUGAGAGGAUGAUCAGCCACACUGGGACUGAGACACGGCCCAGACUCCUACGGGAGGCAGCAGUGGGGAAUAUUGGACAAGGGGGGCAACCCUGAUCCAGCCAUGCCGCGUGAGUGAUGACGGCCUUAGGGUUGUAAAGCUCUUUUCUCCGGGACGAUAAUGACGGUACCGGAGGAAUAAGCCCCGGCUAACUUCGUG